GAUGGUCCUGCGUCCCAUUAGCUAGUUGGUAGGGUAACGGCCUACCAAGGCUACGAUGGGUAGCCGAUCUGAGAGGAUGACCGGCCACACUGGGACUGAGAUACGGCCCAGACUCCUACGGGAGGCAGCAGUCGAGAGGCUUCGGCAAUGGGGGAAACCCUGACCGAGCGACGCCGCGUGGAGGAUGAAGGCCUUUGGGUUGUAAACUCCUGUCAUGUGGGAAGAAACACCAUCGCGCGAAUAGUGCGGUAGUCUGACGGUACCACAAGAGGAAGCUCCGGCUAACUCCGUGCCAGCAGCCGCGGUAAUACGGGGGGAGCAAACGUUGUUCGGAAUCACUGGGCGUAAAGGGCGUGUAGGCGGCUGGAUAAGUGGGAUGUUAAAUCCCCCGGCUCAACCGGGGACCUGCAUCUCAUACUGUUCAGCUCGAGCACAUCAGAGGAGACUGGAAUUCCCGGUGUAGCGGUGAAAUGCGUAGAUAUCGGGAGG
rnacentral:rRNA from 1 species